AGGUGCCUGUACUGAGCAUGGAUCUUCAGCAGUGGUGCCCUUUCAGAAGGUGGUGGACACCCAGGAGGUAGAACCUGGAUGGAUUCACAAGUAGGUCUCUUGAAAGAGAAUUUUUAAAGAAAACUCCAUCGACUUCUCUACAGAUCAAGAAGAAUAGCUGAGACACCGAUCAGUAAGGACAACGGUGCACUAUGAAAGUGAUAGACAGCAUUCUCACAUGGCAACAGUGGUCUGGAGCGUGGUGGCUGAGGAAUACAGACAUGGCUCCAGAAAAUCAGUUACUCUAGUGACUGUGUCCAAGGGACAUUUCUCCUCUGCUCAUGCUGGAAGCUUCUAGGAAAUUUCAUCUUACAUCUUGUCUGGAACAAGGUCCUAGCCUAUAUCCCUGCAUGUAGGAAGAGAACUUGAGGGUUUGACUAUGAACGCCGUGUUGGGAAUUGUCAGAGCUCAGAGAUACCCACAGGUUGGGGACAGUACCUUGUUAGGAAGCUUGAAGAGCCAUCCAAAAUACUAUGGAAGGAAGAGGGCAUUUACCCUUAGAUCAAGCUGAAUCCCCACAUCAUAGAGGUCCUUGAUGGAGGUGAGAGAUGGCCAAGUGGGAAGAAAGUAGAACCAAAAAGAAUGCCUUCAAUGGCCUUGGAGUUGACAGCUUCAGUUGCCAAGCAUGGAUGAGAUGCUGACUUCGAGGAGCAAGCUUCUUGGAUAGACAGAUGGAAGAAAAGCCAGCAGACCAUCAGUAUCCCCAUCUCCACCACCUGGACUGCCAUGAUAUGAGCUUCUCUGCUCUGCCAUACUGCCCACCACGAGGGACCGAACCUACUGAAGCCAUGAAUGAGAAUCCAGGGCAGAGAACACACUGUUCCAAGCCAUGGAGUAGAGAAAGGUUUAUCAGCGUGUGCUCUACGGACUGGCAGCAUCCACAUCUCUUUUUGGUGGUAGAGCAUAAAUACUCUCUAUUACCACAAAUUAUGCAGUUGACUUUCCUGCUUUUGGAGAAAUCAUGGGUUAGCAUACCUGUAGUGCAAUGGAUGAGCCUCACCUUAGGAAAAUCACCCUCAUGAUCAUGAGAUCUCCCUUGCCAGGAGGAGCAACAGCAUGGCAUAAAGCCAGCCAUGAUCCCAGGAGUCAGACAGCCUUGGCUCAAACAUGACUUUUCGUUUCCGCGGAUUCAUCUAUCCUAGGUAGGUUAACUCUUCUGAACCAAUGUUUGCCUAGUGCCUGGAAUAAAAACUGCUCAGUAAAUAUGAGCCACUCACAAUCCACACUCUUUCCACUGUCUCACAGUAGUCUGAAUAUUAGUCACAGUGAUAUUGAAAUCCAGUUCAAACAUACAAUGUUUAGUUCCUUGGUGAGAUGGAGUGCAUGGGAAGACUUUGUAAAUUGUAAAGGACAGCUAUUAAAAUUAUUCUAGAUAUACUGAAAGUAUAGAGGAUGCAGUGUGCCAAUCACGUGCAUCUUUAGAUGACUCUAGUACCCUCAGGCUUGGUACAGUCAGGGGAGCUCAAAAUCCCCUGUAGAUUCUGAGGGAUAGCCGCACUUCAGUCAGCUGUUUUCAAAAGACAGUCCCUCAAACAUCAGGGCCAGCAUUUGAGAAUACCUUAGAGAAACGCGUUCCUCAGGUGACUGGCUCAGAAAUUCAGGCAGGCAGUUGACCUUAGGCAAUUAUUAUAAACAAAGAAUCCGCCCCCAACACCACCCCUGCAGACAAGCGAGUUCUAGCCAGAGGCCCCAGGAGAGCACACAAAUAAAGAUCCGGCCCCAAAGAGUCAACUUCCAGUAAGUGACCAAGGCCAAAUCACUUGUUUGUACAGCCCAUGGCCCAGACCCCACAUUCUCAGAAAUUCUUAGCCCCUGGCUUUGAUCCAGAGCAACGUCAGACUAUUGCUUUCCUCAGCCUACCUGAAUACCUUUAACAUGAGAAAGGAACGGCACCUUGGCGUGUCCUACACUGACCAACAACAGACAAACAUAAAACAGGCCUUGGCUGUGGCCUCACUAUACCUCAUCUCCAAGCGGCAGCACUUCUGAGGCUGACCCCAGUCUCCCCAGAUGAGAGAAGCAGCUGGUACAUCUUUCACUCAGGAGUUGCAGGAAGUCAUCUUACCCACACUAUAGUUUCCCUCCCAGCGAAGGCGCUACUGCUGUUCCUGCUUCAUUUUCUUGGUCUUCCCCGAGCUUAGAAGGACUUGCACUCACCUGGCCUCCUUCACAGCAAAUUUCAGGCUGAAAUGUCUCUCAGUGAAAUAACCUGCAGCAGCGAGGAGCUAACUUCUUCUGACUCUAACGAUUUGGGCAUGUCAUUGACUGAAAUCUCUUUUGAUGCAAGAGUUUUUAAUAUCUGAAAGGCACAUAACCACUGGUUGGGAUUUCUGAUGUGUUAGAAAAUUGGAGCAAAAUAGAAACUUUUUAAUGUUAAAAACAUGUUUACAUAAAUCCUGAUGCCUUAUAGUUUUAUCAAAAAUAUAAAGCUAAAAAUAAAAUGAAACUAUUUCAAUAUGGUAAUUAUAAAACAAUGAUAAAGAAGAAACAGUUUCUUUUUUCUUGGUUCUUAUGAAAUACUUCAUAUUAACAUUGCAUUUAGUAUUUUGGUUUUUUGUUCUUUGGUGUUGUUUUAAAGUGCCUGCUCAGGCCAGGUAUGGUGGCCUUCUCCUAUAAUCCCAGCAUUUUGGAGGAUCCUUGACCACAUUUUGAGUAACAAUGUAAAGAAAGUUGCUUUUCCUAGUUGCUGUAAUUUUAAUGUGAUGGCCAAAUUAAUGAAUUAAUGUUUGGAGGUGAGACCUUUGAUAGGCAUAUCUGGCAGAGAAGAAUGGAAAAAAUAUAUAUUUAAAGAGAACUGUACUUCUUAAAUUAGUUGUAUUCAAAGUGAUAGUCCCCCAAACAGUAGGGCCAGCAUUUGAGAACACUUAGAAAAACAAGUUCCUCAGGUGACUGGCUCUGAAAUGCAUAACACACACACACACACACACACACACACACACACACACACACACACACACACACACACAAUUUAUAUAUGUGUGUCUGUCAAAAGAGGGAAAGGGGACUUGUUAGACUGGCUUACACUAGAGGUCUGGGUGGUCUAACAAUUGUGUACAUGCUGAGGGGCUGAGAAUCCAGCAGGCAAUCAGCCCUGGGAACUAACUGAAUGCCUUUGCACUCCUAACACAACUAACUGAAUCCUAACUGGCGCUGAAGUCCUUGAAAACUGCUGGAGGAUCCUUGGUCUCCUUCAGUCCGUUCUGGAAAGCCAAAGGAGCUGGAAUCUGAUGUUAUCAGAGAAUGGCAUGACAGCAUCAGAAAGGUGCUCUGGCUCCGGAAGAAGUCGAGGCAGGCGUGCAGGCAGUGCUGGUUUUCCUUGGACCCCAGAAGCCACAAAUUGAAAGAAUGAAAUUGCUUUGUGGCAGAAACAACAUUCACCGGGAAGGAACCCGAGUGCUCAUCCAUUCAAAGAACAAACUUGCCAAGUCCGAGAGCCAGUUACCCACCUCCCGCGGCUUCCAGAACAGACAAGGAGGAGAGGCGGGCACAAACAAAUUCAGGGUUUUGACGGCUGGCAGAGUUCCGAAGGCCCUGGCAAGAUCCCAGCAUCCUGCUUUUAAGACUUCCUCUCCGGACCCUUGAGACAGAUAAACUUCUGUUCUUUCCUUGCUGCAGCCAUUUAGACAGACAGCGAACGACGCCCAACUUCCUCAUCCAUGUGAAGCAGAUGAUCAAUAUCAUGAAUUCGUGAGGCUUGGAACAGGCAAGGAGCAGCCGUUAACUCCAUGAAACCGUUAACUCCAUG